UGAACGUUCUGUUAAGGUUUGCAUUUGUUGUAUAUUCUUUAUGUUCUGGAAAACAACAAAAAAUCAAGCGCAGUCAAAGGAACUCGACAUCUGUCCUCCAAUAAUGAGUGAGAGCCUGCCUCUUCAGGAACUCCAGGCACAAGCCUUUGGAGGAAGGGCUCACCUCCGACCACCUUGGUCCUGGAAGGGACAUGGGGAGCUGAGAGGAUGGCAUCAAUGAAUGGACGUGGUUGGCUGGCGAGGCCCACUUACCUUCCCCAGCAGCUCAGGCAGGCCCAGCAGCUGCCCCGCGAACACGCCAAUGCAGAUGAAGAUGGCGGUCACCUGCCCCAGAGCGCCACGGAUCUCCUUGGGUGAGAUCUCGUUCAGAAAGGCAAACGUGCUUUAGGGCACAAAGGAAUGGGAAUUACCUGUAAAGUCACAACUUACGGACCAGCCUGGCACCUUGCUGCUCAGGGAGAACACAACGGGGGGAGAGACGCACCAGGACUCACGUCCCCAGCCCCGGCUUCCUCGCCAGGACAGUUAACACCGAGGGUUAUAUUGGUUUCAGAUGCGCAAUCUAGUGACUCGACACGUCCACA